rnacentral:tRNA from 1 species
CCAUCGGUGGUUCAGUGGUAGAAUGCUACCUGCCCCACGGGGUUUGAUUUCCGGCCGAUGCA